rnacentral:rRNA from 1 species
AACGAACGCUGGCGGCAGGCUUAACACAUGCAAGUCGAGCGCCCCGCAAGGGGAGCGGCAGACGGGUGAGUAACGCGUGGGAAUCUACCCAUCUCUACGGAAUAACGCAUGGAAACGUGUGCUAAUACCGUAUACGUCCUUCGGGAGAAAGAUUUAUCGGAGAUGGAUGAGCCCGCGUUGGAUUAGCUAGUUGGUGGGGUAAAGGCCUACCAAGGCGACGAUCCAUAGCUGGUCUGAGAGGAUGAUCAGCCACACUGGGACUGAGACACGGCCCAGACUCCUACGGGAGGCAGCAGUGGGGAAUAUCGGACAAUGGGCGCAAGCCUGAUCCAGCCAUGCCGCGUGAGUGAUGAAGGCCCUAGGGCUGUAAAGCUCUUUCACCGGUGAAGAUAAUGACGGUAACCGGAGAAGAAGCCCCGGCUAACUUCGUGCCAGCCGCCGCGGUAAGAC